CCCCCAUAUUUCGAUUCGAAUAUGUUUAGGGUUCACGAUUCUCUUCCCCAAAUUUCCUCUUUCCCCCAAAGACUUCACGAUCUUCUCUUCCGUCUGCUCGUAAGCCCUCAUUCAUUGCAAGUUGCCGCUGAAGAUUGGUUGCAUUCAUCCGCCGCUGAAGACUUGUUGCAUUCGUCCGCCAUUGAAGACUUGUUGGGUUCAUCUGCCGCUCUAGGAAAGUUAUGUUCGUUCGGCAUAGUUCAGAAAUUCAUCGCGCACUAUCUCUGCUUGCAAUAGGUUUUUUGGUUGCAUUCGUCCUCCGCUGAAGAUUUGUUGCAUUCGUCCGCCGCUCAAGGAAAAUUGUGUUUGUCCGCCGUAGUUUAGAAAUUUGUCACGCACCGUUCCCAGAUUCGUCGCGCAGCGUUCUGCUUGCAACAGUUUCGUGAAUUCUUUCGUUUUGUUAGGGCGAAGUUCUCUCUAUCUUUUGCCCUUUAUUUAUCUCUUUCCCUUAAGUUGUCGAGUCUAUAGGAGUAGUGUUCCAAAUUAUAGCUUCUCUAACAGACUGAGCUGUGCUUUUUUUUUUUUUUUUUUAUAUAUAUAUAUAUAUAUAUAUAUCUAUGGUAAUUUGAUGUCAGUCGGCGGAAGCUGUGAAUUGCUUGAUUGGCUGUUCUUUUGAAUUGAAGCCAUUGAUAUUCCAUACUGGGAAUGGAACUUCAUUUUGUUUAGCAAGUUAAGAAGGUUUAUCAUAUGUAUUUGCAGGACACUUUGGGCAUCAACCAGAACAUUUAAAACCAGGAUUGUUGUCUAAUGGUCGUGAACCUUGCUUUCUCUAUCAAGCUAUCGUUGUCGAUAUGCUUGGAGUUGGGGCAAUGGAAAUAGCAUAUGCAGAGCUGAAGAGGGGUUCAAGUUUAUGUUCAUGACUUCAUGGAAGGAGAAAGAAUGAUGAGAAUCUUCAACUACAAAAUCCGAAAGCAUAAAUCUAUUUUUUCUUCUCCACUUUUAGAUUUCAAGAAGUUGAUGAUAACAAUCGUGAGACUUUGAGUUUGGAGUUAUCUAAGAGUGUGGGGCUUGGAGGAGGGUGAUGUCUUUGUUUCUUAUUAUUACAUAUACUUUGUGUUUUAUGAUUAAGAAUGAUGAUCAUAACUUGUUUUGUAAUAUGAAUAAGAACGAUUUUCCUAAUUAGUUAUAAGUAUGUAAUGACCAACUAUAUGUAUAUUCAAGGAUAUAUAUGCAAUUUGUUAGUUCUUUGAUUGAAA